GUCACAGCCAGGGACGGAGACAGCGUGGCUUCUUUCGGAGAAAUGAAGAAGCAGGAGUGUUAUUCCUGGCCAGGAUGGGAAACGGUUUGGAAUCUUGGCUCCUAUGCUCACUAGCCAUGUGGUCUGUGGCAAGCCACAUCCUCUCUCUGUGUCUUGACUUACCCAUCUGUAAAAUGGUGGCUCCUCAUAACGCCCACCUCAUAGGGCUGUUGUGAAGAUUGCACGUGCUGAAGAUUCAAAUUCUCAGUACACUGCCAGGCACGUAGGAAGAAUGUUGUUUUAUAGCCCCCGUUUGGGAGUGGGUGGGCAGGAGCACAGACUCUGGGUUCCAAUCCCCAAACUGCCAUCGACUAGUCCAUUUGUGAGCUGGCUGGUAAAUUCACCUCCCUGUGCCUCAAUUUCUUCAUCAGUAAAAUGGGAUAACAAUGGUGCCUUCCUAGUUGGGUUGUUGUGAAGGGUAAAUGAGAUGCCACGUGAAAGUGCAGAGAAGAAGGGCUACCAUAAGGGGUUCCAUGUGGGUGCUGCUGUUAUUAUUGGGUACCUACUGCAUGCUAUGUGCCUGCAUACAGGAGUUGACCUUUGAGACCUGAUCGUUCAUGGCUGUUUCACAGAUGUCGAAGUGGAGGCUCGGCAGGGUUGGAGGUUACCGGAAUCUCCCAGCUGAAAUGGAAGUGCUUGGUGAAGUUUGAGGUGUCUGAGCUGAAGAGCAGCCAGUGACAGGCCUGGGGAUCGUCUGACACAGCCCACUUGACAAGGCCUUGGAAACUUUUGGUCUCUGCAGCAGCAACUGGAUUUCAGCCUGGGCUUCGGACACCUCAGCCUGGGACUGUGCAUCUUGGCCUCUUACCUACUGUGUCUGCGUCAACCUCCCUCACAGCCUGAUGGCCCCUGCGGCAGCCCCACCCCAGUUGUAGGGGCUAAGAAAACUAUGGUUGCAUGAAAGAGCAGAAGUGAGUGGGAGGCAGAAGUGGCGGGGAGAACCAGUCUGGAGAGGUGUUCCGAGAUCUCUAGACCAACCAGUGGAUCCUGAUGCCUCACAUGGUCAGCCUUGUCUAGAGCCCCUUCCAGCAUGGAGGCCAGCCCUCCUGGCAUUCUUCUAAUGACACUGAGCUAUGAGUUA